UACGUAGGGGGCAAGCGUUGUCCGGAAUUAUUGGGCGUAAAGCGCGCGCAGGCGGUACAUUAAGUCUGAUGUGAAAGCCCACGGCUCAACCGUGGAGGGUCAUUGGAAACUGGUGAACUUGAGUGCAGGAGAGGAAAGUGGAAUUCCAUGUGUAGCGGUGAAAUGCGUAGAUAUAUGGAGGAACACCAGUGGCGAAGGCGACUUUCUGGCCUGUAACUGACGCUGAGGCGCGAAAGCGUGGGGAGCAAACAGG
rnacentral:rRNA from 1 species